rnacentral:lncRNA from 1 species
UCAACCCCAAAUUUUGGGGGUCCUGGAUUCAGAUUUUGGGGUCCCAAACCCAAAUUUUAGAGUCCUAAACCGAAAUUUUGGGACCCCGACCCCAAAUGUUAAGACCCCACCCCAUUUUCAUCUCCCCUGACCCCAAAUUUUUUUAUUCUGACCCCAAAUUUUGGGACCCCAGCCCCAAAUUUUGUGAUUCCGACCCCAAAUUUCGGGACCCCAGCCCCAUUUUUUGUACCCCGACCCCAAAUUUUGCGAUUCCGACCCCAAAUUUUUUGGAUUCCCCCCCCCCAAUAAA